AGCCGCUGAUGACUCCUAACACUUUUCUGACACCUCGUAUGAACGCUGUUUCUAGCAGCUGAUUAUAAAAUCUAGUCUGAGGCUC
rnacentral:snoRNA from 1 species